ACGAACGCUGGCGGCGUGCCUAACACAUGCAAGUCGAACGUGAAAGUCCUUCGGGAUGAGUAAAGUGGCGCACGGGUGAGUAACACGUGGAUAAUCUACCCGACGAUCUGGGAUAACAUUCCGAAAGGGGUGCUAAUACCGGAUAAGCCCACGGGAUCUUCGGAUUCUGCGGGAAAAGGGGGGGACCUUCGGGCCUUCUGUCGUCGGAUGAGUCCGCGUACCAUUAGCUAGUUGGUAGGGUAAUGGCCUACCAAGGCUACGAUGGUUAGCUGGUCUGAGAGGAUGAUCAGCCACACUGGAACUGAGACACGGUCCAGACUCCUACGGGAGGCAGCAGUGGGGAAUUUUGCGCAAUGGGGGAAACCCUGACGCAGCAACGCCGCGUGAGUGAUGAAGGCCUUCGGGUCGUAAAGCUCUGUCAGAGGGAAAGAAAUGUAUUAUGGCUAAUAUCCAUGAUACUUGACGGUACCCUCAAAGGAAGCACCGGCUAACUCCGUGCCAGCAGCCGCGGUAAUACGGAGGGUGCGAGCGUUGUUCGGAAUUAUUGGGCGUAAAGCGCGUGUAGGCGGUCUUUUAAGUCUGAUGUGAAAGCCCCGGGCUCAACCUGGGAAGUGCAUUGGAUACUGGGAGACUUGAAUACGGGAGAGGGCAGUGGAAUUCCUAGUGUAGGAGUGAAAUCCGUAGAUAUUAGGAGGAACACCGGUGGCGAAGGCGGCUGCCUGGACCGAUAUUGACGCUGAGACGCGAAAGCGUGGGGAGCAAACAGGAUUAGAUACCCUGGUAGUCCACGCCGUAAACGAUGAGUACUAGGUGUUGCGGGUAUUGACCCCUGCAGUGCCGCAGCUAACGCAUUAAGUACUCCGCCUGGGAAGUACGGUCG
rnacentral:rRNA from 1 species